rnacentral:lncRNA from 1 species
AGCCUGUUUCUGCCUAUCACCAUGAGUGAUUCCUCAAUACUCAGAUUUAUCAUCAAGAUCUCAAUUAUAAGCUCAAGUUUUGAUGACAACUUGGUGAUCUGCAGAAAGCACCACCAUGUAAGGAAGGCCAAGACCACUCUGGAAUCAGUCAAGGGAUUGCAGUGACCAGACAUGCUACUGUAACUCUCAUGGUCAUGUGCUGGAAUUAGCAGAUAUUCAACAAUUUGGCCAUCUCGCUGACCUGUUGAUAUCAGAAGACCGCAGCAGCUCUGCAAAGCAAGUUGCAAAACAGAAUCCAUGAAACUGGCAGUGACUGGAAACCAAUUGGAAGACUUUGGUCUGUGAUGUAGAGGAGUGGGCAGAGGCAGAAGCAAAGACAACAAAAAGAAGAAGUGAUAUGGAUGUCUUCGUCAUAUGGCAUGACUCUGCUGACCCAGCAACAAAGAGGAGGGUGUUCAACAUCAUCCUGCUAGUCAGGAUUCUUCAGGAGAAGCAGUGGAUUCUUGUGGCAGAGAUGGUCAACCACUAUAAAUACCUUUCAACUCAUCCUGGUUCUUUCAAAGAACUUUCUUGCUUGUUUGCUACUGAAAUGUACUGAUUCGACAUGUGGCCUUAACGAAGAGGGGUUAAAAGGUCUAUGGAUCAUCAUUCUCAAAAAGCAACAAAAUAACUGAGAAAUAAACAACAAUACGAUGGUGCAAUCUAGAGACCUGCAAGGUACCUGCAAGUUUUGGCUGGAGCAGAGAACAUAGAUUUUUUUUAAAUAAAGCUCCAGCUGAUGAGUAUGACAUUGACUGUGGAUUUUCUUUUACUGUAAUCCAGAAGAGGAUGACCUUAACCCUGAAUCUAAAGCAUGUAAUAAAAUCUGUAAAAAAUUAAAUAAAAUUGUCAUCAUCU